UACCAGUGACCAAAGAAGACAAGCAUAAUG
rnacentral:piRNA from 1 species